rnacentral:rRNA from 1 species
UGGGGAAUAUUGGACAAUGGGCGCAAGCCUGAUCCAGCCAUGCCGCGUGAGUGAUGAAGGCCUUCGGGUUGUAAAGCUCUUUCACCGGUGACGAUGAUGACGGUAGCCGGCGAAGAAGCCCCGGCUAACUCCGUGCCAGCAGCCGCGGUAAUACGGAGGGGGCGAGCGUUGUUCGGAAUUACUGGGCGUAAAGGGCGCGUAGGCGGCCUGUUGCGUCGGGUGUGAAAGCCCUGGGCUCAACCUGGGAGGUGCACUCGAAACGGGCAGGCUUGAAACCGAGAGAGGAUCGUGGAAUUCCCAGUGUAGAGGUGAAAUUCGUAGAUAUUGGGAAGAACACCAGAGGCGAAGGCGGCGAUCUGGCUCGGUUUUGACGCUGAGGCGCGACAGCGUGGGGAGCAAACAGG